rnacentral:tRNA from 3 species
GGGCCUGUAGCUCAGCUGGGAGAGCGCCACACUGGCAGUGUGGAGGUCAGGGGUUCGAGCCCCCUCAGGUCCACCA